CAAUUUAAUUUCCCUUCCAGACUUCAACUGCUACCCCUUAUUCUUCUCGCCAUUUACUUCUUCUCCUUCUUCAAUGUAUCUUAUUCUAUGUUGUUUCUAGUGGAUUAUCUCUUCUUCUCAUCCAAAAUUCAACCAAAAGUUAAGUUGAAAAAUGGUACUUACGAUCUUUGAUCAGAAGCCAGAAGUUGCGGGUGGUUCAAUAUGUGCUUCAACCCAUCUUCAAACCAAGUUAUUUAAUGUAUGCCAUAUACUCGGAUGUUCGUUAACAAACCCGGGGGCUGGACGUGAACUCCAUAAAGGCGUCUCAAGGUAAUUUCUAUCGUUCUGGUUCCAAGUAUGAUGGAAGAGGUCGGUUCGGGUUGCAAGAAUGAAGGGAAGAGGUCGGUUUAGGUUGCAAGUAUGAAGACAUUGGUUCGGGAAUGUACAUCACAUUUAUCUUCAGAGUUGUGUUACUUUGAAAUUUUUGUAAAUUUGUGUUACUUUGAAAACUUUGUAAUUUAUCUUCUUGGGUUAUUUUAUAUUGGUUUUAAUAUAA